UUUAGUGGGUAGCCUAAUUCAAAUUCAUGAAAGCUGGAUUUGAAGCGGAGGAACCAAAAAUUGGGGCUAAUCUAACGAGAGACACCUUCCAGUCUUAGCCCGUCAGCUAACUCCGUCGGCAAUGGAAGGAACC
rnacentral:sRNA from 2 species